CUUAGGGUUACCACUUUAUAUUAUGUACUGAAAGACUUGUAGCAUAGCCUUGAAGCUGGUUUAUGCAUUAUUAUUGUUGUAUUUUGUCUGGGACAAAAUGGCGUAAACAUAUAAUGCACUUAUUAGGUUAUUGCUUAAAGAAACAGUUAUGAAAAACAAUAUGUUCCAUUUCUAACACCUUUGUCAAUUUGCAGUAUCUCUUAAAGAC